GGCUACUGAGUAGUGAGUACCAGCUAAGUGGUUAACCCUUAUGGCCUUACCCUUACGCCUUAUGCCCUUAUUCUAGAUUUCAAUUUUCAGAUCUGAGAAAGUGAGAAGUGAGAGACAGACCGAGAGGGCGACAGUCGAGAUCGGAGACGACUCAGACGAGACUCCUCAAGUUCAAGUGUUCAACAGAGAGAGUGUGAGACAACAAAUCAACGAUCCACACUUCGAUCGAUCUCCCGUGCCGAGUCGCCGACUGACGAGUCACGACUCACGAGUGACGUCUGUGUUACUGUGCAGCUUCUUCUUCGGUUCUUCCCUACAGGUAGCUUCUUCUUCUCUACACUUCGAUCGAUCGACACUGCUAUGUUCUGUUUUUGUUUUUACUUUUUAGUUUGUUUCUGGCUUUCUGCUACACUUCUGUUUUUGUUUUCAGUUUAUUUUCACUUUUCAGUUUGUUUUCAGUUUGGGGUUACUAAAUUUCUUCAAUUUUGGUAAAACCCUGCAAUUUCGGCAAAAGAAGAGAAGCAAUUUCUGCAAUUUCUUUUGUUGGGGUUACUAAAUUUUUUCAAUUUUGGUAAAAGCCUGCAAUUUCGGGUUGAUAGAGAUAUCCGAGCAGGCCAGAUUUGAGAGUGUAUGCUAUUAUUUCUUGAUGAAACCAUGUCGAGGGUUUGUUGAAGUGUAUGUAUGUACGUUUAGACAGAAGUGACUGAAAAUAUUACCAAAGCUUUGUUCAAAAUUGUGUUCUUUCCUAUAUAGUAGUUUUACAAUGGCUUUAGCUCUUAAUUACCUUACCUGUAGUAAUACCCAGUUUUACGAUCCUCCUCAUGCCAGUUCUUAGGUUCUUUUACAAUGGUGAAUGAGUUAAUUCCAACAUUUUGCAAAUAAUUUUUUUAUACCAACUGAUCUACCAUGAAUAGAGGAGUUGGUAUACUGUACGUACUAGAAACUCCUCUCUGUGAAAUUUGAUACUUGGGAGAUAACGGACACUUGUCCAUAUUAUAUUUAAGUCUAUGAUUUCUUACUUUAUUUAGAUAAUAUAGAUAUGGAUGGAUGGGAACAGAAUGCAUGCAAGGCAAGCAAAUAAGAGACGAGAUCUGCCAACUAAUUUGAGCAUAUGCAGACAUGCAGUAGUAAUUUGUUUUGUUUCCAGGUAUGAGGGAGGAGAAGAAAGUGAUGGAUCAUAUUCAUAUAUGAUAUGAUAUGAUAUGGUUAGCUGAACCUGUCUGCCUGACCAUAACCAGUUAAAUGACAUUGUAUUACCCUGUUUACCCUGUUUAUCUAUAAAGUGAAACAUGAUGAGUUAAUGAUCAAGCAACCAUGUAUUUACUCUUGAUCAUCAUUGUGCAGGUACUAAUCAUGGAUAGAAUUACUGUGAAAGUCAUGUCUUGCUCUUGCAAAAUGGCAGAUAUAACAGAUGAAGGACUUAUGUUUUGUUAUGUCAACAGUCAAAUGAAAUGAAUAGUUUUUGUUUGAAUUUGUAAUUAUGUAUUUGGAUUUUGGAGCUUAUUUCUGUAAUUCUGUAUUUGCAUUUGGAUGAUACUUGUUGUAAUUGCUGCAAAGCUUGUUGUAUUUGGAUUAUUUUUUGUUUGAUU
rnacentral:lncRNA from 1 species